rnacentral:rRNA from 1 species
CUAGCUACAGGCUUAACACAUGCAAGUCGAGGGGCAUCAGGAAGAAAGCUUGCUUUCUUUGCUGGCGACCGGCGCACGGGUGAGUAACACGUAUCCAACCUGCCCUUUACUCGGGGAUAGCCUUUCGAAAGAAAGAUUAAUACCCGAUGGCAUAAUGAUUCCGCAUGGUUUCAUUAUUAAAGGAUUCCGGUAAAGGAUGGGGAUGCGUUCCAUUAGGUUGUUGGUGAGGUAACGGCUCACCAAGCCUUCGAUGGAUAGGGGUUCUGAGAGGAAGGUCCCCCACAUUGGAACUGAGACACGGUCCAAACUCCUACGGGAGGCAGCAGUGAGGAAUAUUGGUCAAUGGGCGCUAGCCUGAACCAGCCAAGUAGCGUGAAGGAUGAAGGCUCUAUGGGUCGUAAACUUCUUUUAUAUAAGAAUAAAGUGCAGUAUGUAUACUGUUUUGUAUGUAUUAUAUGAAUAAGGAUCGGCUAACUCCGUGCCAGCAGCCGCGGUAAUACGGAGGAUCCGAGCGUUAUCCGGAUUUAUUGGGUUUAAAGGGAGCGUAGGUGGACUGGUAAGUCAGUUGUGAAAGUUUGCGGCUCAACCGUAAAAUUGCAGUUGAUACUGUCAGUCUUGAGUACAGUAGAGGUGGGCGGAAUUCGUGGUGUAGCGGUGAAAUGCUUAGAUAUCACGAAGAACUCCGAUUGCGAAGGCAGCUCACUGGACUGCAACUGACACUGAUGCUCGAAAGUGUGGGUAUCAAACAGGAUUAGAUACCCUGGUAGUCCACACAGUAAACGAUGAAUACUCGCUGUUUGCGAUAUACAGUAAGCGGCCAAGCGAAAGCAUUAAGUAUUCCACCUGGGGAGUACGCCGGCAACGGUGAAACUCAAAGGAAUUGACGGGGGCCCGCACAAGCGGAGGAACAUGUGGUUUAAUUCGAUGAUACGCGAGGAACCUUACCCGGGCUUAAAUUGCAGUGGAAUGAUGUGGAAACAUGUCAGUGAGCAAUCACCGCUGUGAAGGUGCUGCAUGGUUGUCGUCAGCUCGUGCCGUGAGGUGUCGGCUUAAGUGCCAUAACGAGCGCAACCCUUAUCUUUAGUUACUAACAGGUUAUGCUGAGGACUCUAGAGAGGCUGCCGUCGUAAGAUGUGAGGAAGGUGGGGAUGACGUCAAAUCAGCACGGCCCUUACGUCCGGGGCUACACACGUGUUACAAUGGGGGGUACAGAAGGCAGCUAGCGGGUGACCGUAUGCUAAUCCCAAAAGCCUCUCUCAGUUCGGAUCGAAGUCUGCAACCCGACUUCGUGAAGCUGGAUUCGCUAGUAAUCGCGCAUCAGCCACGGCGCGGUGAAUACGUUCCCGGGCCUUGUACACACCGCCCGUCAAGCCAUGGGAGCCGGGGGUACCUGAAGUACGUAACCGCAAGGAUCGUCCUAGGGUAAAACUGGAG